rnacentral:lncRNA from 1 species
GUUGCAUAAUAAUAAUUCAAAUUAACGUAUCUAAUACACUAACACAUUAAACUUAAAUAAGUCUAACAGAUUCAAAAUAACAUAAAUUAUCUCAGAUCAACUUAAAAUACGAAUUGAUGGAGCAUACUCAAGACAACUCUUGAUAUCCAUCCUUAACGAGUUGUGUUUUCCCCCUUUCGACGAGUAUUAUGACUAGACCACAGUGCUUGCACUGAACUUUGCAAACUUCUUCAUUUUCUUCUAUCACCUCAGAGUAUUUCCAAACAUGUGAAUGCACCCUAGAAGCACGACAUGAUUUCACUUGAACCUUACAAAAUUGGUAACCACACUUCACUUGAUUAUUAUAAUAUUGUUGUGGCUACCAUAAAUAAUUAAUAAACCCGAAAUAUUAAUUAAUUGAGAACUUCAUAGCAGUAAGAAAUUUAAUAAUCAAAAGGGAGUUGACAGAGAACUAUAGUGGAAGAAGAGAGCAAGUUGUGAAAAAAAUGAGGAAUAAAAG